rnacentral:rRNA from 1 species
UUACUGAGUUUACGCUCUAUAACCCUUUGUGAACAUACCUAUAACUGUUGCUUCGGCGGGUAGGGUCUCCGCGACCCUCCCGGCCUCCCGCCUCCGGGCGGGUCGGCGCCCGCCGGAGGAUAACCAAACUCUGAUUUAACGACGUUUCUUCUGAGUGGUACAAGCAAAUAAUCAAAACUUUUAACAACGGAUCUCUUGGUUCUGGCAUCGAUGAAGAACGCAGCGAAAUGCGAUAAGUAAUGUGAAUUGCAGAAUUCAGUGAAUCAUCGAAUCUUUGAACGCACAUUGCGCCCGCCAGCAUUCUGGCGGGCAUGCCUGUUCGAGCGUCAUUUCAACCCUCAAGCUCUGCUUGGUGUUGGGGCCCUACAGCUGAUGUAGGCCCUCAAAGGUAGUGGCGGACCCUCCCGGAGCCUCCUUUGCGUAGUAACUUUACGUCUCGCACUGGGAUCCGGAGGGACUCUUGCCGUAAAACCCCCCAAUUUUCCAAAGGUUGACCUCGGAUCAGGUAGGAAUACCCGCUGAACUUAAGCAUAUCAAUAAGCGGAGGAAAAGAAACCAACAGGGAUUGCCUCAGUAACGGCGAGUGAAGCGGCAACAGCUCAAAUUUGAAAU